UGGAUACCGUCGGUGUCGGAGUGGAGAAGCAAAAACAAGGAGGACGUUGAAACCAGAUUCACAUGGCCCCCUCUCCUUCCUCCCUACUUUCAAGUCCCAAGUGUGAAGCUGCCAUAAUUUUCGCUCUAAUUAAAAAAAAAGUAAAAUAAUAAUUAUAAUAUUUAGUUUACUUUUCUGCAAAUUGAAGGGACGCACGAUUUUUAGUGGCAAUCUCACAGCUCUCUCUUCUUCCUUUCCCUCCAGAUCUAAAUCUAAAAAUAUAAAAAAUCUCUACUUUUUCGGAAAAAUUGUUCAUCAUUCUUCAUUGUUCCCAGAAGA
rnacentral:lncRNA from 1 species